GGCUAUCUGGCCCAAUGGUUAAGGCGCUUGCCUACGAUCGUGUUUCGAAAGCAAGAGACUCCAGGUUCGAGUCCUGGGAUGGUCG
rnacentral:tRNA from 1 species